rnacentral:rRNA from 1 species
UCGUCAGUUCGUAUGGUAAGAUGAGGGAUUAAGUCCAAAAACGAGCGCAACCCUUAUGUUCAGUAGCCAGCGGUUCGGCCGGGCACUCUGGGCAGACUGACAAGAAUAACCUGGAGGAAGGCGGGGAUGACGUCAAAUCAUCAUGCCCCUUAUGACCUGGGCUACACACGUGCUACAAUGGACGGAUCAGAGGGAAGCGAACCCGCGAGGGGGAGCGGAACCCAUAAACCCGUUCUCAGUUCGGACUGCAGCCUGCAACCCGGCUGCACGAAGCUGGAAUCGCUAGUAAUCGCGGAUCAGCAUGCCGCGGUGAAUACGUUCCCGGGCCUUGUACACACCGCCCGUCACACCAUGAGAGUCAGCAACGCCCGAAGCCGGCGGCCCAACCAGGAAUGGAGGGAGCUGUCUAAGGCGGGGCCGAUGAUUGGGGUGAAGUCGUAACAAGGUAGCCGUA